rnacentral:rRNA from 1 species
CUACGGGGCGCUCCAGUGAGGAAUAUUGCACAAUGGGGGGAACCCUGAUGCAGCAACGCCGCGUGGAGGAUGACGCAUUUCGGUGUGCAAACUCCUUUUAUAUGUCAAGAAAAUGACGGUAGCAUAUGAAUAAGCACCGGCUAACUCCGUGCCAGCAGCCGCGGUAAUACGGGGGUGCAAGCGUUACUCGGAAUCACUGGGCGUAAAGGACGCGUAGGCGGGUUGGAAAGUCAGGUGUGAAAUCCUACAGCUUAACUGUAGAACUGCACUUGAAACUUCUAAUCUAGAGUAUGGGAGGGGGAGAUGGAAUUAGUGGUGUAGGGGUAAAAUCCGUAGAUAUCACUAGGAAUACCUAAAGCGAAGGCGAUCUCCUGGAACAUUACUGACGCUAAGGCGUGAAAGCGUGGGGAGCAAACAGGAUUAGAUACCCGUGUAGUC